rnacentral:lncRNA from 1 species
GCAGCUUUGUGGCUCCCGGCCGCAGACUCCUGCUGCUGCUUAAUAUGCUGUUAAAUUGCAUUAAAAUUUGAAAGAGUUGGCAUACGAUUGCGGUUUUGGGUCACGGCGCCGUCUGGUGUCCCAGAUAAGCGCAUUACGAACUGCAGGCCAGGGACAUGCUGAGGUGAAGGCUUAUUUAUGGCACAUACUGAAGGAAAUGAAAGCGAGAGCCCUGGAAGGAAAACCUCUUGGCAAAACAGACCCCAACUGACCGCUGAUGGCCACUGCCAGUUGGCAAUAAUUGCCUGGCAAAUAAUUGAAUGAGAAUUGAGAGCGUGCCUUACUCUGACUCUGACUCUGACUCUGUCCCUGCCCCAGCCAUAGCCCUGGUUGUGGCUCUUUCGCAUUUAAAAUGCAAUAACCGGAUUAGAUUGUGUUGCUGCCACAUCAGCAUGUCCUCCUCGCUGGACUCGCAUUUGUUGUUGUUGUUGUUGUUGUUGCUGCUGCUGCUGUGGUCGCAUGUUACUCUGGUAUUUAUAGAGUUUUAACGCAAUCGCAAUUUCGGUUGACAUUUUGCGCUUUCGGCCAUUUUCCAACCUGCAAACUCCAUUGUUGCCGCUCUGUCGAUAGACGUCUGCAGGUAGACUUCAGCCCCAACCCAAGCAGCUUCCCAGCUCCCAG